rnacentral:rRNA from 1 species
GAUGAACGCUGGCGGCGUGCCUAAUACAUGCAAGUCGAGCGAACAGACGAGGAGCUUGCUCCUCUGACGUUAGCGGCGGACGGGUGAGUAACACGUGGAUAACCGACCUAUAAGACUGGGAUAACUUCGGGAAACCGGAGCUAAUACCGGAUAAUAUAUUGAACCGCAUGGUUCAAUAGUGAAAGACGGUUUUGCUGUCACUGAUAGAUGGAUCCGCGCCGCAUUAGCUAGUUGGUAAGGUAACGGCUUACCAAGGCAACGAUGCGUAGCCGACCUGAGAGGGUGAUCGGCCACACUGGAACUGAGACACGGUCCAGACUCCUACGGGAGGCAGCAGUAGGGAAUCUUCCGCAAUGGGCGAAAGCCUGACGGAGCAACGCCGCGUGAGUGAUGAAGGUCUUCGGAUCGUAAAACGCUGUUAUUAGGGAAGAACAAAUGUGUAAGUAACUAUGCACGUCUUGACGGUACCUAAUCAGAAAGCCACGGCUAACUACGU